AUGACUGACCAGAAAGUCACCACUGGAAUUCAACACAAGUUAAUGCUUAAGUUGCUAGAGUUCAAUUUCACUCUGCAGUACAAGAAAGGGAAAGAAAAUGUUGUUGCUGAUGCUCUUUCCAGGAAGAACACCCUUAUGGCCAUGUCAUUGGUCACUCCCCAGUGGAUAUCAGCAGUAGAAGCUUCAUACACUAAUGACAGUACUUGCCAAUCACUCAUGGAAAAACUACUGUUGGCUCCUGAUCACACCUUCCAUCAGAACACUCUGCAUUCAGGGGUCAUAAGGCACAAAGGGAAGAUUUAUGUGGGUAAAGAUCAAGUACUCAGGGACAAGCUACUUACUGCACUCCAUGUUUCUGCAUUAGGGGGCCAUUCGGGCAUGAAAGCAACUUAUCAUCGCAUCAAACAGAUUUUCUAUUGGCCAGGCCUUAAACAGGAUGUGGAUCAAUUUGUAGCUGCAUGCCCUGUUUGUCAGAAAAACAAAGGGGAAAAUUGCUCAUACCCAGGCUAUCUUGACCCACUGCAAAUCCCUGAUAUGGUCUGGACUCAUCUGAGCAUGGAUUUCAUCGAGGGCUUGCCCAAAUCCAAUGGAAAAGAUGUCAUUAUGGUUGUGGUGGAUAGACUGUCCAAAUUUGCCCACUUUAUUCCCCUUUCACACCCAUUCACAGUUCACACAUUUGCUCAGGUCUUUGUGGAUAAUGUGUUGAAGUUGCACGGCCCUCCACUGGCAAUAGUGUCUGAUCGGGACCCUAUCUUCACCAGUCAAAUGUGGCAAGAUAUCUUCAAAGGAAUGGGAACAGACUUGCGCUACAGCUCAGCAUAUCAUCUUGAAUCGGACGGCCAAACGGAGCGCGUCAACCAGUGCAUCGAGAACUAUCUGCGCUGCCUCACUUCUACCAAACCCAAGCAAUGGGCCAAACACUUGUCUAUGGCUGAAUAUUGGUAUAACACGUCAUAUCAUUCUUCUCUCAAGAAGACCCCAUUUGAAGCUGCUUAUGGAUUUCCUCCGCCCAACAUUUGUGAACACAUCCUACCUGAUAAUAUGGCAGAAGAUGCUCAACAAUUCUUCAACAACAGACAUGCGCUGCUCCAACAUAUCAAGACAAACUUGUCUGCUGCUCAAGCCCGCAUGAAGAAAUACGCUGAUCGCAAGCGUACUGAAAGAGUUUUGGAAGUUGGUGACAUGGUGUACCUUAAAAUGCAGCCCUAUCGGCUCAAUGCAUUUGGGUUGCGUACACACAUCAAACUGCAAAGCAAGUACUAUGGGCCGUUUCGCAUCACAGCAAAGGUGGGGCGCGUGGCUUACAAACUACUUCUACCUGACAGCACCAGCAUUCAUCCAGUCUAA
rnacentral:rRNA from 1 species